GCACCGGCGCCGGUUCUGUGCGACUUUCUCAGGAAACAUCUCGCCAGAGAACACGAACUCGCCCUGCUCAUGAUUGCGGCCAUAUUGGAAAGAUAGUCUAGACAGUGGAGGCAGCCUGGGAUUCUCGUGCUGUCCUCCGCCAGUCUCAACUCGCACAGCCUGCAGGAUGAAGAUCUCCACAGCGACCGGCUGCCGAACUUCGCUCUUCACACUCGUUCGUACCGGUUCGUAUGCGUAUUUCACCCACAGAAGCGCCGUGCAACACGCACAGAAGGGACUGGAGUUCGCUACCAGCGGCUUGCGACUCCAACCACCCCAGCGCGGCUCUAAUUGGCCAGCUGCACCGCUUGUUUGACUUCUGAAAUAAAGCAACCAUUCAUAUUCAUAA